CAUACCCGUAUGCCAUUGAGCCCGUCUUCCAUCGUCAGAGUGAGCCUGUCUUCCUGGAGGAUGUCUUGGACGAGGCUCUGAGAAUGUUAUUAAGAAUCAAGGGUCCCUCAAGAGGCAUUUGUGAAGUAUUCCCUUGGUUCCAUAAUUUGGACGGCGUAAUUGGUGGCCACCUGGAUGUGCUCUGCCUCCUACGACUGAUUUGUUCAUCAUCGUCUCGACUUUGAUUCACCUUAGUGGAUGAUUUGUGGAGAAAAGUCACGUUCUCCUAAGCAUUGACUUCAAUCCCUUCUUGCUCGGAUGGACUACGGAUAGGAUUAUCCAGCCUUGAUUUGGUUGUCAUACUUGGUUUUUCUUGUCUUGACCUACUUACAGUAAGGUAUGGAGGAGAAGCUGAUUAUUGAAGAGGAAGAGCCCUGUGUCAUGCACUUGACACAUUUGCAAUAAAUAAUAAAUUUAAACAUUUCAAAGGUGUAUGAAUUGACUUCCCUUCAGUAUUUUUAAGUACCUUAUAAGGUGACUUCAUAGUUUUUCA